GGGGAAUAUUGGACAAUGGGCGCAAGCCUGAUCCAGCCAUGCCGCGUGGGUGAAGAAGGCCUUCGGGUUGUAAAGCCCUUUUGUUGGGAAAGAAAAGCAGCCGGCCAAUACCCGGUUGUUCUGACGGUACCCAAAGAAUAAGCACCGGCUAACUUCGUGCCAGCAGCCGCGGUAAUACGAAGGGUGCAAGCGUUACUCGGAAUUACUGGGCGUAAAGCGUGCGUAGGUGGUGGUUUAAGUCCGUUGUGAAAGCCCUGGGCUCAACCUGGGAACUGCAGUGGGUACUUGAUCACUAGGGUGUGGGAGGGGGGAGUGGAAUUCCCGGUGUAGCAGUUAAAUGCGUAGAGAUCGGGAGGAACAACAGUGGCGGAGGCGACUGCCUGGGCCAACACUGACACUGAGGCACGAAAGCGUGGGGAGCAAACA
rnacentral:rRNA from 1 species